rnacentral:lncRNA from 1 species
AUGGGCCGGAGGGGUGGAGCGCACGCUCUUCUGCGCGGGACCGAUUUCUCUCCGCGUGUUUCUGACGCGUCGUGGGAUGCCGGCACAGAUCCGUGGUCGGUUCCUUCUUUCUGCUCGUGGGGUUCCGCGUACGGACGCGCCACGGCUCUGCCCAGCCUCCUUCCCGUCUGGGAGCCGAUGAAAACCAUAACAAGGAUGUCGUGUAUCUCCUCGGGCCAUCUCUGUGUAGACACAGGCUUUCGUAACACGGGCGGGAUUGCGGCCUGCACACCCGUCUCUGUGCGACAUGCCCUUUCCCCGAUUCCGCCUCAUAGCCAGGCCCGUUCUCAAGUCCGGGACGUGGGUCCCCACGCAGGAGUGGUGUGUGGUGAGCCCGUCACGUCUGACACUUGGGGUUCCAGAGACCAGAGCUGGAGAUCCAGACUUCCCUUAGAGGCUGCUUCCGGAAGCACUGAGGGCCGAACUCUCUGUCUCCUGGGACCAUUUCCACGUGAGCUACUCGCUGGACUCACAGAUAGGACUGAAAUUGUAGCAAUGCGACCGGAUCGUCAUCAACAUAGAGCCUUAUCAGCGAGGCAAUGACAACAAGCCUGCAGGGCUGAUGGGCCAUCUGGAGUUGGGUAACGUAGCACGUAUUGAUUUUGGAUCAGCCGAGAUGCAGGUUAAUGACUGUUUUUGUUUCUGUCCCAAAGCAGCUUGCGUUAUGCUUACGAAAUAAACAUAAUAUGCAAUUUCUGCA